GUUGAUCAUGGCUCAGGAUGAGCGCUAGCGACAGGCCUAACACAUGCAAGUCGAGGGGCAGCACAAGGAGCAAUCUGAGGUGGCGACCGGCGCACGGGUGAGUAACACGUAUGCAACCUGCCUGUAAGCGGGGAAUAACCCGUUGAAAGACGGACUAAUACCGCAUAAUACUAAAUUACUGCAUGGUAAUUUAUUUAAACAUUUAUGGCUUACAGAUGGGCAUGCGCAUGAUUAGCUAGUUGGAGAGGUAACGGCUCCCCAAGGCAACGAUCAUUAGGGUUCUGAGAGGAAGGUCCCCCACACUGGUACUGAGACACGGACCAGACUCCUACGGGAGGCAGCAGUGAGGAAUAUUGGUCAAUGGGCGGGAGCCUGAACCAGCCAAGUCGCGUGAAGGAAGAAGGAUCUAUGGUUCGUAAACUUCUUUGCAGGGGAAUAAAGUGCAGGACGUGUCCUGUUUUGUAUGUACCCUGAGAAUAAGGAUCGGCUAACUCCGUGCCAGCCGCCGC
rnacentral:rRNA from 1 species